CAAAAUUGAGAAGCUUCACGAAGACCAGUUCCAGGGCUUGGUAGAGCUAUUCGAUUUAUAUCUCUCGGAGAACAAAAUAGACGCUCUGCCUGACAAAAUUUUCAAGGGUGUCAAAAGCCUUAAAGCUCUCAAUAUCUUCGGCAAUAAGAUACAAAACGUUAGCAGCACGACCUUCAGCUAUGCCCACGAACUGCGAUUUUU